rnacentral:rRNA from 1 species
CGUGUAGGCGGUUGCUUAAGUCUGAUGUGAAAGCCCUGGGCUCAACCCGGGAAGUGCAUUGGAAACUGGGCAACUUGAGUACGGGAGAGGGUAGUGGAAUUCCGAGUGUAGGGGUGAAAUCCGUAGAUAUUCGGAGGAACACCGGUAGCGAAGGCGGCUACCUGGACCGAUACUGACGCUGAGACGCGAAAGCGUGGGGAGCAAACA